GUAGACCCCUUGAAGGCCGUCAAGUACAAAUUAACAGUCUAUCUCCAUAGGGAGGCAACAGAAUCGGAGGCUCCUGCAACUUAUUCUUUUAUUUUUUCAAUGCCCCUUGGCAAUCACUAUUUCGCCUGACCGUUUGAUUUUUUUUCCUCAUCUGGAAUAUGGGUUCACACGUGGCUGCUAGGCGAAAUGUGAACCAUGACAUGUAGUUCAAUCUACCCAGGAGACCACGAACCUCUCUUUUUUAUUCUCGGUUCAGGCAUUUCUUUUUUUUUUUUUUUUUUUUUUUUUUUUUUUUUUUUUUUUUUUNUUUUUUUUUUUUUUAGCAGGAUCAACCUCGAUUCCUCUUUUCCAAUGAACCCCAGCAGCUUACCGGCCCGCACUCUGAUAGUGCACUUAUCUGAAUUCAACCUC
rnacentral:lncRNA from 1 species